rnacentral:rRNA from 1 species
UACGUAGGGUGCAAGCGUUGUCCGGAAUUAUUGGGCGUAAAGAGCUCGUAGGCGGUUUGUCGCGUCUGCUGUGAAAACUCGAGGCUCAACCUCGGGCUUGCAGUGGGUACGGGCAGACUAGAGUGCGGUAGGGGAGACUGGAAUUCCUGGUGUAGCGGUGGAAUGCGCAGAUAUCAGGAGGAACACCGAUGGCGAAGGCAGGUCUCUGGGCCGCAACUGACG